CGCGUAGGCGGCCUGUGCAAGUCAGUUGUGAAAUCUCCGGGCUUAACUCGGAACGGUCAACUGAUACUGCUCGGCUAGAGUGCGGAAGGGGCAACUGGAAUUCUUGGUGUAGCGGUGAAAUGCGUAGAUAUCAAGAGGAACACCUGCGGCGAAGGCGGGUUGCUGGGCCGACACUGACGCUGAUGCGCGAAAGCUAGGGGAGCGAACGG
rnacentral:rRNA from 1 species